UAGAAAACUCAUUUGAUUAGAUCUCAUACACAAUCAAACUUUUUGUGAGGUAUGAAUAUAUGAACAAAGAUUGAGACCAUGAAUUACUUUUCAAUGCAAUUUAUUUGCUUUUAUCGAGACUUAUAUAUGAACAAAGAUUGAGACCAUGAACUAUUUUUCAAUGCAAUUUAUUUGCUUUGAUUGAGAAUUAUAUUUUGUCAUUAUGUUUGCUCUUUUUUUAGGUGAGGCUCACUUCAUUCAAUGAUCUUGGUUCGAUGAUCUUGCUUCCGAGUUUCAAAGACUAUGUAAACAUGGGAUUACGAAAAACAGUUUAUAUAUAGGUGAGCCUCACUUCUUACGAGGAUAUUGCUUGUCUUUCACAAAGGUAAAAAAAUGUUUUCCUAAAGGUAUUUAUUUUGGUUGGUUUUUUCUACAACAGCAUAUCAGUACAUAAAAAUGAGAUUGCAUAUAUUGCUUCCACCUUUAUAACACCCUCAUUCAAAUAAGGAUUUGAAUUUAUGACCUUAUUAAAAAAUUCUUUCAAGGUUACUAAUGUGUUGGCAGCUAUGGUCAAGGAAGUAGUAUUUGAGAAGAGCAUACACUACACUACUAAUGAAGAGAGCAAAGUUUUGAAGACUUUGACAUGUGAAUAAAGAAGCAAUUUAUCAUGUCACUUGCUUAAAUCAAAUUCGGAAAAUAACAAGGCAUAACCAAUCAAGUUCAUAGACAUAUGAUGCUAAGCGUAUCUCCCAUUGGAGCACUUAUCAACUUAUUAAGCUCAACUAACUCUUACUUUGUUUUCCCAAUGGGAAAAUGUUUAUGUGGUAGGCAUGAUUAUUUCAAUUUGAGGAUUUUUUUUAAAAGGAAUUUAAGGACUGUCUUUGAUUAAAGAGUGGUUGCUUAAAAUAAAUGAACUAAAUCCAUUAAAUAUGAACCUUUGGGGUUAAAAGUGAUUGAAAUAUUAAAAGAGCUUUGGCAUAAGUAAAUGGAGGUGAUGUUUACCUUGAGU